AAAUUCAAGAAGUGAAAUUCGGAAGGAAUAUAAUUAUAUAAUGAUUACUCAAAAUUUGAGGCCACGAAGUUUUGAUUUAAGACUGGGAUUAGAUACCCCAUUAUUGAUUUUGUAAAUUAAUUUUAUUUACCGGAGUACUACGAAUAAGAAUAUUUAAAACUCAAAAAACUUGGCGGUAUUUUAGACUACUUAGGGGAACUUGUCUCGUACUCGAUACUACACGGGAAACCUGACUUUUUUUAUGAUAAUUGUUUAUAUACCGUCUUCGGCAGCUAACCUAUAAAAGAAUUGAAGUUAUCAAUCAAUAUUUUGUAUUAAAUGACAGAUCAUGGUGCAGCUAAUAGGAAGGGAGGAUGAGUUACAAUUAUAUAUUUAUAAUAUGGAUAGUAGGUUUAAAAUUUACUUUGAAGGAGGACUUAAAAGUAAAUAAAUUUUAUAAGAAUUUUUUGAAUAAGCUCUAAAAUGUGU
rnacentral:rRNA from 1 species